CGUGGCCAAGCUCUUAAGGGUGUACGGUGGAUGUCUGGGCAUCGAGAGGCGACGAAGGACGCGGCAGCCUGCGAUAAGCUUUGGGGAGCCGGCAAACGGGCGUUGAUCCAAAGAUUUCCGAAUGGGGAAACCCCACUGCUUCGGCAGUGACUCCCGCCCGAACGCAUAGGGCGGGCAGAGCGAACGCGGGGAACUGAAACAUCUAAGUACCCGCAGGAACAGAAAGAGAGCAUCGAUUCCGCCAGUAGCGGCGAGCGAAGACGGAACAGCCCAAACCGGGGUUCGCCCCGGGGUUGCGGGCGCCUCGAGCUGAAGGUAACUCAACCGAACGGCCUGGAACGGCCGGCCAGAGCGGGUGACAGCCCCGUAGGUGACGGGUGAGACUAGGCGUCGAGAGGCGUACCAGAGUAGCGCGGGGCUCGUGGAACCCCGCGCGAAGCUGGCCGGCCCACCGGCCAAGGCUAAAUACUCCUCGAUGACCGAUAGCGAACGAGUAGGGCGAUCGAACGAUGAAAAGCACGGCGACGAGCCGGGUGAAAAGUACCUGAAACCGUACACUUACAAGCGGUCGGAGCACUAUGCCCAGCAAUGGGAAUGUGUGACGGCGUACCUUUUGCAUAAUGGGCCGGCGAGUGCACGUGUACAGCGAGGCUAAGCGGUCAAGCCGCGGAGCCGGAGCGAAAGCGAGUCUUAAAGUGGCGACCAGUUGUGCGCGUGCGGCCCGAAACCCCGUGAUCUACCCGUGGCCAGGCCGAACGCCCCGUAACAGGGGCGGGAGGGCCGAAGCCGUGACCGUUGAAAAGGUCUGGCACGAGCUGCGGGGAGGAGUGAAAGUCUAAUCAAACGGGGAGAUAUCUGGUUCUCUUCGAAAUGCCUUUAGGGGCAGCCUCGGGCGACAUUACCCUGUGGGGGUAGAGCGACUGAAAGAGGACGCGGGGCUACCCGCCUACGCGCCUCUACCAAACUCCGAAUACCACAGGGCGUACCCCGGGAGUGAGUCCGCGAGGGAUAAUCUUCGCGGUCGAGACGGAAACAACCGAGACCGUCUGCUAAGGUCCCCAAACCAUGCUCAGUUCGUGAGGAGGUCUCCCUGCCGGGACAGCCAGGAUGUUGGCUUAGAAGCAGCCACCAUUUAAAAAGUGCGUAAUAGCUUACUGGUCGAGCAGGGUGGCGCCGUAAAUGAUCGGGAAUAAGCGUGGUACCGAAGCAACGGACUCGAACGACUUGUCGUUCGAGUGGUAGAAGAGCGCUGCACUCCGCGUCGAAGCCGUACCGUGAGGAGCGGUGGAGCGUGUGCAGGUGAGAAUGCCGGCAUGAGUAACGAUAAGGCGGGUGAAAAUCCCGCCCGCCGAAAGCCUAAGGUUUCCUGGGGAAGGUAAAUCCGCCCAGGGUUAGUCGGGAGCUAAGUCGAGGCCGAACGGCGUAGACGAUGCACAGCGGGUUAAUAUUCCCGCACCGACGGUGAAGGUCGAACCUCCGCGUGCGCAUAUCCGAGGCCGGUCCCCCGAUCAGACGUGGGGGUCCCGCAAGGGCGAGGCCGCUUUGUUGCCGAAGCCGGUGGAGGGUGUGCCGAGAAAAGCGCGGGGGGGACGACACCGUCGUCCGUACUAAAACUGACACAGGUAGGCGAGGAGAGUAUCCUCAGGCGCUCGAGAGAACUGCGGUUAAGGAACUAGGCAAUCUGACCCCGUAACUUCGGGAGAAGGGGUCCCUCCCCACGCGCAAGCGUGGAAGGGCGCAGGAAUCAGCCUGGGCGACUGUUUAUCAAAAACACAGCUCUGUGCAAAGACGCAAGUCGACGUAUACAGAGUGACGCCUGCUCGGUGCCGGAAUGUUAAGGAAGGCGGUCAGGGGUUCGCCCCGAAGCUGGCGACCGAAGCACCGGUAAACGGCGGCCGUAACUAUGACGGUCCUAAGGUAGCGAAGUUCCUUGUCGGGUAAGUUCCGACGUGCAU
rnacentral:rRNA from 1 species